rnacentral:rRNA from 1 species
GACGAACGCUGGCGGCGUGCUUAAUACAUGCAAGUCGAACGGAAAGGCCCUGCUUUUGUGGGGUGCUCGAGUGGCGAACGGGUGAGUAACACGUGAGUAACCUGCCCUUGACUUUGGGAUAACUUCAGGAAACUGGGGCUAAUACCGGAUAGGAGCUCCUGCUGCAUGGUGGGGGUUGGAAAGUUUCGGCGGUUGGGGAUGGACUCGCGGCUUAUCAGCUUGUUGGUGGGGUAGUGGCUUACCAAGGCUUUGACGGGUAGCCGGCCUGAGAGGGUGACCGGCCACAUUGGGACUGAGAUACGGCCCAGACUCCUACGGGAGGCAGCAGUGGGGAAUAUUGCACAAUGGGCGGAAGCCUGAUGCAGCAACGCCGCGUGCGGGAUGACGGCCUUCGGGUUGUAAACCGCUUUCGCCUGUGACGAAGCGUGAGUGACGGUAAUGGGUAAAGAAGCGCCGGCUAACUACGUGC